CCCAUCCCAAUUGCAACCACAAUACCUAGGAGUGCCAUCAGCUGAAGGGUAGGAUUGGAGAUCUUGUUUGAUGGGGGCAACGUAUCAAAAUGGGAGCUCCACGAAGAAUCCACAUCGAAAGACCAUCAAUGUGGAGGAUAACCCGGUGACAACCCGAUGGUUGGUUCCGUAGAUACAAUCUUGGUACCUACUAGCAUUUGGGGGGGGGGGAGA
rnacentral:lncRNA from 1 species